GACGAACGCUGGCGGCGUGCCUAAUACAUGCAAGUAGAACGCUGAAGAGAGGAGCUUGCUCUUCUUGGAUGAGUUGCGCACGGGUGAGUAACGCGUAGGUAACCUGCCUGGUAGCGGGGGAUAACUAUUGGAAACGAUAGCUAAUACCGCAUAAAAUGGAUUAUCGCAUGAUAAUCCAUUGAAAGGUGCAAAUGCAUCACUACCAGAUGGACCUGCGUUGUAUUAGCUAGUUGGUGGGGUAACGGCUCACCAAGGCGACGAUACAUAGCCGACCUGAGAGGGUGAUCGGCCACACUGGGACUGAGACACGGCCCAGACUCCUACGGGAGGCAGCAGUAGGGAAUCUUCGGCAAUGGACGGAAGUCUGACCGAGCAACGCCGCGUGAGUGAAGAAGGUUUUCGGAUCGUAAAGCUCGGUUGUAAGAGAAGAACGAGUGUGAGAGUGGAAAGUUCACACUGUGACGGUAUCUUACCAGAAAGGGACGGCUAACUACGUG
rnacentral:rRNA from 1 species